rnacentral:lncRNA from 1 species
GUUUGUAUUUGCUACUGAAACAGUUUCCACCCCUGGAGGAAUCGAAAAUACGUAGAGGCUGAACGGAUUUGCUAAAGCCGAUCCUCCUUAAGGAAGAGCUAUCCUUAGGAAACCAAAGCUCGGGCAAGACUGCCACAAAAAUGCAACAGCUCACGGGAAGGUCGGAAAUAAAGGUAUUACCAAAUCUUUCACAGAAAGCAGAACCCUUACUAGUAACCGCAACAAAUGGAACAAGUCUAACUCGGAAAAGGAGCAAGAAUCUCCCCUGGUUCGAUCACCGAUGCAGCCCAUUGUCAGUACCUGACUGGUGGGCCAUCAUAGAGAUCAUAUCAACCGAUGCCAUGCAGAAGCCAAGCUCUUGGCGCCUUGCCAUGGCCGAAUAUUGCUCAGUUUAACUCCCCGAGGUUUGAUGAUUC